rnacentral:rRNA from 2 species
AACCUGCCUGUAAGACUGGGAUAACUCCGGGAAACCGGGGCUAAUACCGGAUGGUUGUUUGAACCGCAUGGUUCAAACAUAAAAGGUGGCUUCGGCUACCACUUACAGAUGGACCCGCGGCGCAUUAGCUAGUUGGUGAGGUAACGGCUCACCAAGGCAACGAUGCGUAGCCGACCUGAGAGGGUGAUCGGCCACACUGGGACUGAGACACGGCCCAGACUCCUACGGGAGGCAGCAGUAGGGAAUCUUCCGCAAUGGACGAAAGUCUGACGGAGCAACGCCGCGUGAGUGAUGAAGGUUUUCGGAUCGUAAAGCUCUGUUGUUAGGGAAGAACAAGUACCGUUCGAAUAGGGCGGUACCUUGACGGUACCUAACCAGAAAGCCACGGCUAACUACGUGCCAGCAGCCGCGGUAAUACGUA